rnacentral:rRNA from 1 species
AUACGGAGGGUCCAAGCGUUAUCCGGAAUCAUUGGGUUUAAAGGGUCCGCAGGGGGUCAAUUAAGUCAGAGGUGAAAGCCCAUCGCUCAACGAUGGAACUGCCUUUGAUACUGGUUGACUUGAGUUAUACGGAAGUAGAUAGAAUAAGUAGUGUAGCGGUGAAAUGCAUAGAUAUUACUUAGAAUACCGAUUGCGAAGGCAGUCUACUACGUAUAUACUGACGCUGAGGGACGAAAGCGUGGGGAGCGAACAGGAUUAGAAACCCUUGUAGUCC